GCAGUGACAUCCCAUAGGCUCCUGUUCCAGGUUCCCGGCCACUCUGGUCACCCUCACCGCACAAGAUGGCUACCUGAUGGCUGCCCUGCUGCCAUCUGCCCAUGUGUGAUGCAUUCUGCCCUCCUGUUGUUUUCCCCAGUGAGUCCCAUGCUGAGGAUGCCAAAGCCUCCCUCCUCCCCAAGGUUAUGCCUCCCUCCUCCCCAGUGGCCAUGCCUUUCAUGGGGUUUGUUCUUUGAUCAAGACUUUCUGGGGUAUUGGUUUGGGGAGUUCCUUACUGUGUAAAAGCAAUGCUGAAGCCCCCAAGGGUCCAGCCUGGCUUUUUGUGCAUUUGCAGGAUGGGGAGAUUGACCUGAAGCUCCUCACCAAAGUGCUGGCCCCAGAGCAUGAAGUGCGAGAGGAUGAUGUGGGCUGGGACUGGGACCAUCUAUACACUGAGGUGUCCUCAGAGCUCCUCACAGAGUGGGACCUGCUGCGGGCAGAGAAGGAGGACCCCGUUGGACCAUCGAGGCACAUCUGACCCAGGAACGCCACUGUGCAUUUGGACAAAUGCAUGAAGUCUAAAACCAUGGGAGCUUGUGAGCAGCUUACAAUUUUUAUACAGAAUAUUUUGUAAUAGAAUAUUUAUUUUCAGUAGGACACAUUGGAGCAUUCCAAUUCAAUAAAUGACUUUAUUCUGUG
rnacentral:lncRNA from 1 species